rnacentral:misc_RNA from 1 species
GUAAAAAAUUUCCCAAUUUGGUUAGCAACCCGACAUUUUUUUUUGGGUAAUUGUUAAAUACUCAUCUCAAUCUACUUGUUCUUGAUGGUGACCCCAAGCCCACCGGCAACAAUAACAGUAGUUGCCAUGCCAAGAAACAUUCCAUGUUCCACAACCCCAGCUAGCCUCAGAAUAGCAUCGCUAGAAGCCCUUAAAUCACCAAUAUCCUUGUUAAAAAACAAGUCUACAAUGUAGUUCCCAUUAUCAGUGACAAAUGGAUCACCAUUUUCACCCCCAUUAGUCCUCAACUUGGCCAUGCAACCAGCGUAAUCAAACAACUGUUGAAGCCUUUGUUGCGUGAAUUUCCAACAGAAAGGCACAACCUCAACCGGCAUUGCUCCAUUGGCUCCAAUAUGGGAUACCAAUUU